CGUGGAGCGAUUUGUCUGGUUUAUUCCGAUAACGAGCGAGACUCUAGCCUACUAAAUAGUCCGCACAUUGCUUCUGUGCUGCGGUACUUCUUAGAGGGAUUUUCGGUGUACAGCCGCACGAAAUUGAGCAAUAACAGGUCUGUGAUGCCCUUAGAUGUCCGGGGCUGCACGCGCGCUACACUGGCGAAAUCAGCGUGCUUGUCCUUUCCCGAAAGGGAUUGGUAAACCAAUGAAAAUUUGCCGUGAUUGGGAUCGGAAAUUGCAAUUAUUUUCCGUGAACGAGGAAUUCCAAGUAAAUGCGAGUCAUCAACUAGCGUUGAAUACGUCCCUGCCCUUUGUAC
rnacentral:rRNA from 1 species